rnacentral:rRNA from 1 species
UACGGGGGGGGCAAGCGUUGUUCGGAAUUACUGGGCGUAAAGCGUGCGCAGGCGGCCUCUUAAGUCAGAUGUGAAAUCCCCGGGCUUAACCUGGGAACUGCGUUUGAAACUGGGAGGCUAGAGUGUGGAAGAGGGGGGUGGAAUUCCAGGUGUAGCAGUGAAAUGCGCAGAUAUCAGGAGGAACACCAAUGGCGAAGGCAGCUCGCUGGAACGGUACUGACGCUGAGGCGCGAAAGCGUGGGGAGCGAACAGG